CCCGCGUGCUUCCCAAAGGUUGUAGCUGGCCAGCAGCCGUGGGAAAGCCGCCCCGAUCCGCUCCUCCCUAUAAACCCAGACAGGAGCUUGGGAAGGAUGAGACAGAUCCAUAUGGCACGGGACAGGGAUGCUGCUGCCCUGGUGCAGCAAGCGUGGCUCCUCUGCAUCUUCCCCCCCCUAUUAUUUCCACGCACCUCCCCGACUGAAGCCAACCUGCAGCACUGCUAAUCCAUCCAUCGCAGCAUCCCGCUGCUCACACCUGUGGACGCGCCGGCCGCCUGGUGUCAAUUGCUGAAAGUUGCUUUGUGAAGGCAGCUCUCCUCGCACGGCAUCCCGCAUCCUAUCCUGCUAAGGCAGGUGCGUUCCUCCUGCAGGGCCCCGGCUGGAGCGGGAGCACAGGAGAUCCGUGGGGAUGCCGGAGUGCAGCAGCGGGUUGGCACUGGCAGCCCCACGGAGCGUGAGCCGGGCACGGAGGGCUUCUUCCCCACGAGGAAAUAUCUCAGUCAGGUAUUUACAGUGACCAACUGGGAGGCGUAACGCGUGGCGUGGGACCAUCCAGCACAACGGGGGUUCUCUGCAACCACUGAACUUCAUGGAAUCGUUUUGGCAGAACAGAGAGCACUGGUGAUGUGGGCUCAGAACGCCCCAAAUCCAUCGGUGAGCACUGCUGAAGCUGAUUUAAAACCAUCAUUCUUCUUUUUCCGGACAUUAAAAACAAUAAAACCACCAAAAUUAAACAAUUCACACAACCCUACAGGGAUGAAGCCUGGUUUUCUUUUUUGGAGCUACGUUUUCCUCUGUCUGCAUUCUGGCUGGGAAAGCUGGAUGUGGAGCAGCCCAAGCCAGAUGGUGCCAAUCCCUUGCGUUCUUCCCCUUUUUUUCUGCCCAGCAUAGAGCCAGGAGGACAGGGCAAAGUGCUGGGUGCUGGCCACCCUUCUUUGGUGUGCUCCAAGGGACGCAGGACCAGAAAAGCUAAAAUUGCUCCAUUCUCCUUCCAACGAGUGCAAUCAGGGGCAGGCAGCCCCACGCCAACGGGUCAUCGCCUCCCAGCUGGUGCAAAGAGGUCAGACUGUACACAGCUCUUCUAACACAGGAACACUGAUCUCCACACAGCGGCACGCAGGACAGUUUCUCCUGACGUGCAUAUUGCAAUGCGGUAGGAAAAACCACUACCAUAGGGCCGGGUUUGCUGCUGCUGCUGCUUCUUCUACGGUGCUGGUGAAACCACAACUAACUGCAGCAUUUGGAAGGUGAUUUUAGGACCAUCCGCACCAGCUGGAGGAAAGGGGACAGUUCUGAAGGUGAGAGGAGUUACGUUUGUGCAUAGAAACGCAGGCGGUCGAAGCAACGACGCGCCCCAAAAAGCACCGGCUGUGCAGAAGCCUCCCGUGCGAGAUGAACCAGAGAUGAUGGCAGGGUCUCCGUUGGCUGGGACACCACACACCCAUGUGGUGAGCUUCUAGAGCCACGUGGCAGGGUCUCCAGACGGGAGGGCAUCGUCCUGGGACUUCAAACACCUGCUGAGGUCUUCCCAGGUGCAAGGAGGAGAUGUGCCACAAGGAGAAGACCUGCCCAAGGCCAGCAGGGUGCAGACCCCACGCUCUGUGAUGAGUCGUUACCAUCUGAACAGCGUGCACAAGCAAGUCUGCGUCCUUCAGCACUGCACGGCCCCUCAUUCAGCUGGAUUCCAUCACAGGAACCUUCAGGGUCUUCAUCCCCUCGCUCCUCACCUGCAGACUUCUCCCAUAGCCCUGGUCCAGUCCAAACAGAGGAUCCCAGAAAACAUCCAGUGUGCCAAAAACCCUCUUGGGUUUAACAGCAACACGCUAACCAUGCCUUUAGAACAGUUCCUGGAGUCGCACAGCAGGAACCUGUCACUGGGUGCAAAACUGCAAUGGUUUGGGAACUGUUUUAACCUGCCUCCAAGGACAUCUUAUUGCUGAAUUACUCAGUCACCGAUAUUAUAUAUUAUAAUAUUAUACAAUACGUAAGCAUUUUCACACGUCUUAUAGAAAGAAUUUCUAAAAAGGCAACCUGGUGGAUUGUUUGUUUUUUUUUUUUGUUUGGUUGGUUGGUUGUGAUAUUUUGGACCCUGGGAAUCUGACAGCUAAGUCUUGAAAUUCAGAACUUAAAAUAAAAGUUGGGAAGGAAAAAAAAACAAAAACAGUCAGCAGGAAAUAGGAAUAUUUGCAUGACGCAACCGAAGUUGGAUUUGGGGUAGCAUUAGGUAUUUACACAUAAAAGAAGUGCUGAUUAAAAUCUCUCCGCCCUUCUUCCAUCCUCAUCCUCUUUGGCAGGCAGGAGGAGGCGGCAGCGCAGCGGCCGGGGGGCGUCCAAUGCUCCCUGCAACACCUGCAGCACAAAUAAGGCAGCUCUGCAGAUCAGCUGGAUCUGGAGGGUCUUGGGACGCAUCCAAGAUGAGCCGACAGAUUUCCAGAAACGAUGACCGAACAUCGUCACUGAGGACAUUUCUCUGAGACAAUUUAAAAAACAAUAAUUAAAAAUGGAGAGAAACACAGUAAACACCACUCUCAGAUAAAAUCUAGCUUUGGAGCAUCCCGGCAGGUCCACGUGGGAAAUCCACCCUCCUCCGGCCACCGCACGCCCAGGCCAGGGGGGGCAGCUCGGAAGCUCCAAGCUCUGGCACUGGCUCUUCUCCACUGGAUUUUGGAAGGAGCCAUCGAGUCCCAGCAGCCCACACGGCCGGUGUCACUGCAUCCUCCAGAUGAGGCGGAUGAUGUAAUGCAGGAGGCGCAGAAUGACCACCUGGGGGUUUCCAGCGUGGUUAUCCAAGAAACCCUAGGAGGAAAACAGGGGGCAGAAAGUAAGAAAGUGACUUGAAUUCCCAGCUACCGUGAGUUGAACAUCUCCUGCACGUGAGGAAGGAGAAGGUGGGCCUAUGCAACUCUGAGCUUUCUCCCCAUUGCUGCCACUACCAGGAAAGGUCUACGUUUACCUACUGAGCUGGCUUCAGGGGGUUCAGUACAGAUGAGACAACAAAGUUCGCCCCAAGGGGUGGCCAAAAUGCACUGAUGCUUGUUAUUUGUCACUGCCAAGGAGACGCAGAGGGAGAAAACACAGAAACAAAAUGAAGGCAACUCAGCUCAAUGACAUCAAGCGCUUCCUUCAGUCCUGGGGAAGCCACUGCUGGCAUCCCAACCAGCACCAAACCAAGACUGCUGCAAGAUGACCAGUUCCCUGUCCCCAGCCUCAGGGACUGGCAUUGUCCUCCACCACAUUCAUAAUCUGGGCUCAAUUCAAGUUCACUGAAGCCAACUCAAGAUUUUUUCUGAGCAGAAGAUGAUCCAACACAAAUAGGGCAAAUACCCCAAGGAGGCUGAGCACACAGUUCUCAGCUCUUGCUAACACUGGAGACUGAGAGAUUUCACAAACUGGAAAUCAUGCAUUUUAUGAUUUUACCAAGAAAGUAAACCCAGCCUCCCUUCAUGCUGAGUUUCAAUAAGAAGCUUUAUAGUCCUCAGUGGGCCAAAGCCGCCUGCUCCCAGCCACAUCUGCCAUGAAGGCUCAGAGAGGACAUCACACUGACUCCCUCACCUGGGUGUGGGAUGUGAGUAAUGCUGCUUGAGACUGCAGUGUGGAAGCAAGCAGUAAGCCCUGCUAAGAGAAGCAGGGAGGUAAUAAUAAUAAUAAUAAUAAUAAUAAUAAUAAUAAUAAUACAAAACCCAACUAGAAAUGAAGACCUGCAGCAGGAAGAGCAGUGGUAGCGGAGACGGGUUCCUGCUGAUGGUGGUAGUCAUGGCUUCAGCUCUAAUGGCUUUAGGAGCAACCACUGCAGCCGAGCACUCCUCCUUUGAGCACAGGACCAGUAUUUCACAGCAACAUUCAAAGAGAGUUUACUUUUGGGGUCCCUUUUCCCUCCCCCAAGCCCAACAGCAAAACAGAAGUGCCAGCACCACCACCUCUGGUUUCCCACGCUGUCAGAACAUGGUGUGGUUCGGGCUAUAUUGAGUGCAGCAGAACCAUGUCUGUACAUGCCCUGCAGGGAGAAAUCACGCUGCUUACACCGAUUUGCAAACUCCUGUUGCAGGCACAGGGCACGCAGAGUGCACUGUCUCCAACAGAAGAUGCUCAAACAUCCCACAGCCAGGUGGAGAAGGGUGAGCAGCGCAUUUUAGCUCACCAUGCAUCUGCUGUGCGUGGAGCUGGGCUUCGAGGCAGGAGAGCACGCCGGCUGCUCCCGCUUGCUCAACCUCUUUGUCAAGGUGGAUCGAUGCUGAAUUACCUAAUUCUCUGUUGUUUUUGCCCUGGGGAGCUUUUAAGGGCAGAUAGAACACAGCCAGGCUGCUUUUGGGGAACCCUCCUGGCAUCCCAGCCAGGUUCUUGUCCCGGGGCCCCCAGCUGGGCACGCUGGGGCAGAGGAGCAACGCCGACCCGUCCGACAGCCCUGACCUGUCUGGCAAGCACCGUUUUGGCACCGCUGAGUUCCCCAUUUCCACCCGUGCUCAAAGGGCAAGCCCGAAUGAACCUGCUGCGAUUGGAGGGUGAUGGCAGCACGGGCUGCCAGCAAAACUUCAUGUUUACCCCUUCCCUGGUGCCGUGCUGGCAAUCCAGCUCAGUAAGUGUGAGCUUCUUCAACAGCAAGCUGCUCACAAAAGGCAAAGGCAACUUUUCAGGGAGCGAUAGCCAAGCACGCUGGGGACAAUAAAUCCACAGCAAUUACUUAAAUGCUCUGAAAGCCGCUUGAUUCUGGAUGCAACAGACAAGAGGAAUUCAUCAGACUAAUUAAGCCUGCGGGAAGCGAUACUACUUUGCCCUUGCAUUCCCCAAUGAGCCCUGCUACAGCCCUCACCCACGUGAGCAGCAGGGAGGGAAAAUGAGCAAAUCCACGAGGGAAGCUGCUGACUCCAGAGCAGGGGAAAAACAUAUGAACUCAAAAAGAAUGAGCUGGUGAGAGAGCAGAGGCAGGAGUGGAUGUGGGGCAGCACCAGGACAAGCACCCAAUCUGGGGAGAGCUUCUGCCGUGCAGACUCUGGACACAGUGAGGAAGUGACUCAUGAGCCAGGGGGAUGAAUAAAGAUGUGGGCAGUCAGCACAUCAUCACACACAUCUCCUUCUCCUCUUCCCACAGGUAAGCCAAAGGAAGGGGGAGAAGGACUAGAAACCACAUGUACAAACAUGCAGCUGUGAACAAUGGAUGAGAGGCAAGUUAUCAGCUAACGCUGCUCUUCUGAUAAUUGCUGUUACCUCAUCUCUUUGAUGACUUUUUUUUGUGCACGCUCGUACCGCUCAGUUUUGUUGCGCCACUUCAAGGUGAGAUUUUACAGCCUCUCAAACUUACAGCCUUACAGAUCUAGUGGGCACAGUGGUGACGGAUCAACGGUUGGACCAGACGAUCCAAGCGGUCUCCUCCAACUUUAGUAAUUCUAUGAAACACACGAUUUUUGAAGGAGCUUUUGCUGAAUUCUUCUAGGAGAAAUAAGCUACCAGAGGAGGUUCAUCCCUGUUGCUAGACUUUGAUACUGGUGACCCUUCACAGCAGCAAUCCCCUUAAAACAGCAGUGCUGGUUCCCAAGAGCUGCCAGCCACUCACACAGCUCCUUCCAAUGCCACUCCAACAACACACAGAGCUCUGCUUGCCUUACAUGGUUCCCUCCUUAUCACCAGUUCAGCGCCAAUGCAGAGACAGAUGAUGCCUUACUGGCUCUCAGUACCAUAAAUGAAGCCACGACACCCGAAAAUCUCCGGUCCCAACUCGAAAGGUGGUGCUGAGUAUCUUUCAUGACGCGGCGGCAGCAGACGACAGCCACCCGCGCAUCCUUUUCUACAUUUGAGUGAACAAAACACUUGCCACAGAGCUAGUUUCCAGAUAUGAUUAAGCUUUUCCCUUUUAGAGGCUGUGCGUAAAGAAAUGGAAAGUAAAAAUAAGAGAAUUACCCUUCUUGGACAAUAGGAGGCAUUGAAUUCAUCCCCAAUGCGCCGCAGCUCCUGUGCAAUCCAUAUUUCUGGUUGUAUUUCUUCUGCAAGUGAGUGAGAUCGCCACCUGGAAGCUGCACAGAGCAAAAAACAGAGCGUUGGAAACAGAACAACUCAGAAAGCAAAUGCUCCAUUAAACCUGGGAAGAAUGCAACCAAGACUGGCCGUGCGAUGUGCACACUGCAGGCUUGUACCAGUGUUGGCUCUGUGUUGGUAUUAGGCUUUGAUUUGUUAUUACAUCAGCAGCUUCUUCCCUAGCAAAAUCCUAUUUUCCCCUUUUCUAAACAUAAUGAUUUCUCACAGGGCAAAGCAGCAGCUCCUUCUCUAACCUUAAAAAAACCUCAGUCCUGAUAAUUUGGUCUAAUGUUCGCAUUUCUUCCCCCAGCGGUGGAGGCAUCCAACGAGACAAGGAGCAUGGUUGUUUCUGCCGUGCUAAGAAGAAAGCCACAAUUGGACAAAGUGCACUCAGAGCAAACUUUGGGACUUUUCAUCCCCACCAUGGGGCUGGAAGGCUCUGCUCUUCAGUAUUAUGUUCCAGCACUUCAGCAGAAAAUAAACCAGGCGCAAGAAAAUGGCACUGGCUUAUAAAAGGUGAAAAAAAAAAGAGCUAAGAUAUCAGUUAUGCUGAAUGUACAGCACCAGGGCCUUCAGUCUCCAUUUUAAGCUCCUGAGCACAUGAUAAAACCACGGUACAAGCCGCCAAAUAUUGGAAGGGAAAUGAGCAAGCCCUGGUGCAGCACCUGUGCCCCCUCCUGCCAAGGAAAGCUCAGAUUUGAGCAAGAAACACAGCCUAAAAAUUGGAAAAAAAAAAGUAAUAAAAAAUAGAAAACGACAAAAGAAAACACCACACACA